rnacentral:rRNA from 1 species
CUAAGGCCGAUGGCGACCGGCGCACGGGUGAGUAACGCGUAUCCAACCUGCCGAUAACUCGGGGAUAGCCUUUCGAAAGAAAGAUUAAUACCCGAUGGCAUAAUAGAACCGCAUGGUUUGAUUAUUAAAGAAUUUCGGUUAUCGAUGGGGAUGCGUUCCAUUAGGCAGUUGGUGGGGUAACGGCCCACCAAACCUUCGAUGGAUAGGGGUUCUGAGAGGAAGGUCCCCCACAUUGGAACUGAGACACGGUCCAA